rnacentral:rRNA from 1 species
UACGUAGGCAGCAAGCGUUGUUCGGAAUUACUGGGCGUAAAGAGUGUGUAGGCGGUGCUCUAAGUUUGGUGUGAAAUCUCCCGGCUCAACUGGGAGGGUGCGCCGAAAACUGGAAUGCUUGAACGUGGGAGAGGAAAGCGGAAUUCCUGGUGUAGCGGUGAAAUGCGUAGAUAUCAGGAGGAACACCUGCGGUGUAGACGGCUUUCUGGACCAUUGUUGACACUGAGACACGAAAGCGUGGGUAGCAAACAGG